UAGGUUGAGGAGGUGGUGAUUGUGGCGGUGGAGGAGGAGGAUGAAGUAGCCAACACUGUGUAUAUAUAUAUAUAUAAUUUUUUUAAUUGGGGUAGCCCCCAAAAUAUUGGGACAUAUAGAAAAGAUAACUCUGUUCCACAGAGUAGCUGUUAACAUUAUAGUUGUGCAGGCACUUUGUUGACUCUAGAGAACCUUGGGCCAAUUGCACAUCCCCGUGGCGGCGACUUUGCAUGCGGAUGUCAUCCAUAUCAACUUUCGAUGCCAGUUUCUGCGCCUACCAUGGUGACCAUGGGUAACGGGGAAUCAGAGUUCCAUUCCGCAAAGGGAUCCUUAGAAACGGCUACCACAUGCAAGGAAGGCAGCAAAUGACCCACUUCCAACACGGGAAGGUAGUGAUGACAAAUAACAAUACAGGACUCUUUAGAGGCCUUGUAAUUGUAAUGAGUCCACUUGAAAUCCUUUAACUCUGAUCAAUUGGAGGGAAGUCUGGUGCAGAGUCACUGACCCGUGCGUGCGGCAGCUGAAACUCCACU